rnacentral:lncRNA from 1 species
AAGUGUACAGGCAGAGAUGAAUGUGUGUGGCUUUAGCAGAUCCACACUCAUCCAGGGAUAACUGGACCAUGGGGGCAGGGUGGGAGUGGAGAGAAGUCAUCAUAGGAUGGUAAUCAGGUGCUUGCAGGGAGAAGAGAAGGAAAAGCAGAUGAGUGAACAAGGGCAGAUGGUGCUGGAGAAUUCCAUCAAGUGGGCAUCAAGAAGGGACUGGAGGUUAAAACCUUUGGGAUAAAGAAGAAGAAAAAAAGACAAGCUGGUAAAAAGUAAGGUCUGGGGGGUGGAGGCAAGAAGGGGAGUUGCUAAAAACUCUAGAAUAAGCAGUAAGACAUCUUUCAAUAAAACUGCCCCUUCCCAGAUGGCACCUGGGCACUGUUUGCUGGGCACAAACAUGGCACUGUUUCCUAGGAGAUGAUUCCUCCAGUUCUUUAAGGUAGUAAUGAAUGACAACAAGAAGUUACUUCUCUAUGCUACACACGGUGUAGAAUCCAGAGCCUGACUGGCUGUGACGCGCCCAUGGUGACACCAAGGGGACUCUGCAUGGGCACAUCCCGGCCCUCCUCCCUGCAUGUUCUCCAAGCCAGGUCUUUGAAACCUCCAGUGAUGGGAAUGACAGAAUCUGGGAUGAUUUUCUUCUGUUUCUUAUCUAAAAAAACAACAAAAAGCUCAGCAUACACGGACUCACACAAACCUUUUGCUAGAGGCAGCUCUGUAGACUUAAGACGCUGUCAUUUUUCAGAAGAACCCAGCUUGCUUUGGAACUACAGUCAGCCCUGCAACCCACCCUCACCUUGGACCCUGCUGCUGCUGUCUGUAAAGACAAUGCUGCGAUGAAUACACCUGUGCAUUCUUUUUUAGAACAAGUGUAAGAAUUCCUAUGUGGCUGGACGGUACUGCUGCCAUCUCGGCUCACUGCAACCUCC